rnacentral:rRNA from 1 species
CACGUAGGCGGUAUUGCAAGUCCCAUGUGAAAGCCCACGGCUUAACCGUGGAAGUGCAUGGGAAACUGCAGUACUUGAGUACUUAAGAGGAUCGCGGAAUUCCCGGUGUAGAGGUGAAAUUCGUAGAUAUCGGGAGGAACACCAGUGGCGAAGGCGGCGAUCUGGGAAGAUACUGACGCUGAGGUGCGAAAGCGUGGGGAGCAAACA